rfam:TPA: Bos taurus chromosome 7, whole genome shotgun sequence.
UCCUUGGUGGUCCAGUGGUUUGGACUGAGCGCUUUCACUGCCUAGGGCCCAGGUUCAAUCCCUGAUCAGGGAA